GACGAACGCUGGCGGCGUGCUUAACACAUGCAAGUCGAACGGAAAGGCCCUGCUUUUGUGGGGUGCUCGAGUGGCGAACGGGUGAGUAACACGUGAGUAACCUGCCCUUGACUUUGGGAUAACUUCAGGAAACUGGGGCUAAUACCGGAUAGGAGCUCCUGCUGCAUGGUGGGGGUUGGAAAGUUUCGGCGGUUGGGGAGGGACUCGCGGCUUAUCAGCUUGUUGGUGGGGUAGUGGCUUACCAAGGCUUUGACGGGUAGCCGGCCUGAGAGGGUGACCGGCCAGAUUGGGACUGAGAUACGGCCCAGACUCCUACGGGAGGCAGCAGUGGGGAAUAUUGCACAAUGGGCGGAAGCCUGAUGCAGCAACGCCGCGUGCGGGAUGACGGCCUUCGGGUUGUAAACCGCUUUCGCCUGUGACGAAGCGUGAGUGACGGUAAUGGGUAAAGAAGCACCGGCUAACUACGUG
rnacentral:rRNA from 1 species